rnacentral:rRNA from 1 species
UACGAAGGGGGGCUAGCGUUGUUCGGAAUUAUUGGGCGUAAAGGGCGCGUAGGCGGUUUGACAAGUCUGAUGUGAAAUCUAUGGGCUCAACCCAUAGCCUGCAUUAGAAACUGUCGGGCUUGAGUAUGGGAGAGGUGAGUGGAAUUUCCGGUGUAGCGGUGAAAUGCGUAGAUAUCGGAAGGAACACCUGUGGCGAAAGCGGCUCACUGAACCAUAACUGACGCUGAGGCGCGAAAGCUAGGGGAGCAAACAGG